rnacentral:tRNA from 1 species
GCGUUGGUGGUGUAGUGGUGAGUAUAGCUGCCUUCCAAGCACUUGAUCCAGGUUCUAUUCCUGGCCAAUGCA